rnacentral:tRNA from 1 species
AACUAGGUGGCUGAGAGAAAAGCGUUGGUCUCUUAAAUCAAUUUACGGUUGAACCUCUAGUUG